CAGCCUGUAGUCUAGUGGCUAAGUUGCAUAGCUGGGAACCCUGAGGUUGGUGGUUCAAGUCCCAGCCCAGCCACA
rnacentral:tRNA from 1 species